rnacentral:rRNA from 1 species
CCUACGGGCGGCAGCAGUGGGGAAUAUUGCACAAUGGGGGAAACCCUGAUGCAGCGACGCCGCGUGAGUGAGGAAGUAUUUCGGUAUGUAAAGCUCUAUCAGCAGGGGAGAAAACGACGGUACCUGUCUAAGAAGCCCCGGCUAACUACGUGACAGCAGCCGCGGCAAUACGGAGGGGGCAAGCGUUAUCCGGAUUUACUGGGUGUAAAGGGAGCGUAGACGGCUAAUCAAGUCAGAAGUGAAAACACCGGGCUCAACCUUGGGACUGCUUUUGAAACUGAGUAGCUAGAGUGCAGGAGAGGUAAGCGGAAUUCGUAGUGUAGCGGUGAAAUGCGUAGAUAUUAGGAGGAACACCAGUGGCGAAGGCAGCUUACUGGACUGUAACUGACGUUGAGGCUCGAAAGCGUGGGGAGCAAACAGGAUUAGAUACCCGGGUAGUC